rnacentral:pre_miRNA from 1 species
AGGGCUUGGCGCAGCUGUGAACAGAGCCCGUCGUGUUCACAGUGGCUAAGUUCCGC